rnacentral:rRNA from 1 species
UACGUAGGGGGCGAGCGUUGUCCGGAUUUAUUGGGCGUAAAGAGCGUGUAGGCGGCCAGGUAGGUCUGCUGUGAAAACUCGAGGCUCAACCUCGAGACGUCGGCGGAAACCAUCUGGCUAGAGUCCGGAAGAGGAGAGUGGAAUUCCUGGUGUAGCGGUGAAAUGCGCAGAUAUCAGGAGGAACACCCGUGGCGAAAGCGGCUCUCUGGACGGUACUGACGCUGAGACGCGAAAGCGUGGGAGCAAACAG